rnacentral:rRNA from 1 species
CCCUUAGAUGUUCUGGGCCGCACGCGCGCUACACUGUUCGACGCAGCGAGUCUUAACCUUGACCGAAAGGUUUGGGUAAUCUUCAGCAAAGUCGAACGUGAUGGGGAUCGAUCAUUGCAAUUAUUGAUCGUGAACGAGGAAUUCCUAGUAAGUGCAAGUCAUCAGCUUGCGCUGAUUACGUCCCUGCCCUUUGUACACACCGCCCGUCGCUACUACCGAUUGAAUGGUUUAGUGAGAUCUCUGGAUCGACGCUGGCUAGGGGGCGACCCUUGGCCAGACUGUUGAGAAACUGCUCAAACUUGAUCAUUUAGAGGAAGUAAAAGUCGUAACA